rnacentral:rRNA from 1 species
CCUACGGGCGACAGCAGUGGGGAAUAUUGCACAAUGGGGGAAACCCUGAUGCAGCGACGCAGCGUGAGUGAAGAAGUAUUUAUGUAUGUAAAGCUCUAUCAGCAGGGAAGAAAAUGACGGUACCUGACUAAGAAGCCCCGGCUAACUACGUGCCAGCAGCCGCGGUACUACGGAGGGGGCCAGCGUUAUCCGGAUUUACUGGGUGUAAAGGGAGCGUAGACGGCGCGGCAAGUCUGAAGUGAAAGGCAGGGGCUUAACCCCUGAACUGCUUUUGAAACUGUUGUUCUUGAGUAUCGGAGAGGUAAUCGGAAUUCCUAGUGUAGCGGUGAAAUGCGUAGAUAUUAGGAAGAACACCAGUGGCGAAGGCGGAUUACUGGACGACAACUGACGGUGAGGCGCGAAAGCGUGGGGAGCAAACAGGAUUAGAUACCCGAGUAGUC